rfam:Brevibacillus laterosporus LMG 15441, complete genome.
CGCCUCUUUAAGGCUAAUCCCGUGAGGUUAGCAAGGGGACUCGAUCUAACGCUGGAGGUAUGCGUACCUCUGUGCUUGGACCUGCCUCUUUGUGUACCCACGAAGAGGUUUUUUUGU